rnacentral:rRNA from 1 species
GACGAACGCUGGCGGCGUGCUUAACACAUGCAAGUCGAGCGGUAAGGCCCUUUCGGGGGUACACGAGCGGCGAACGGGUGAGUAACACGUGGGUGACCUGCCCUCAGCUCUGGGAUAAGCCUGGGAAACUGGGUCUAAUACUGGAUAUGACUCCACGGUGCAUGUCGUGGGGUGGAAAGCCUUGUGCGGCUGAGGAUGGGCCCGCGGCCUAUCAGCUUGUUGGUGGGGUGANGGCCUACCAAGGCGACGACGGGUAGCCGGCCUGAGAGGGCGACCGGCCACACUGGGACUGAGACACGGCCCAGACUCCUACGGGAGGCAGCAGUGGGGAAUCUUGCGCAAUGGGCGAAAGCCUGACGCAGCGACGCCGCGUGAGGGAUGACGGCCUGGUGUAAC